UACGUAGGGGGCAAGCGUUGUCCGGAUUCAUUGGGCGUAAAGCGUCCGCAGGUGGCGAUUCAAGUCUGCGGUCAAAGACUGGGGCUUAACCCUGGAAAGGCCGUGGAAACUGAAUAGCUAGAGUGCAGUAGGGGUAGAGGGAAUUCCCAGUGUAGCGGUGAAAUGCGUAGAGAUUGGGAAGAACAUCGGUGGCGAAAGCGCUCUACUGGACCUCAUCUGACACUCAGGGACGAAAGCUAGGGGAGCGAAAGGG
rnacentral:rRNA from 1 species